rnacentral:rRNA from 1 species
UACGAGAGAUGAGGAGCUUGCUCUUCAAAUCGAGUGGCGAACGGGUGAGUAACGCGUGAGGAACCUGCCUCAAAGAGGGGGACAACAGUUGGAAACGACUGCUAAUACCGCAUAAGCCCACGGCUCGGCAUCGAGCAGAGGGAAAAGGAGCAAUCCGCUUUGAGAUGGCCUCGCGUCCGAUUAGCUAGUUGGUGAGGUAGCGGCCCACCAAGGCGACGAUCGGUAGCCGGACUGAGAGGUUGAACGGCCACAUUGGGACUGAGACACGGCCCAGACUCCUACGGGAGGCAGCAGUGGGGAAUAUUGCACAAUGGGGGAAACCCUGAUGCAGCGACGCCGCGUGGAGGAAGAAGGUCUUCGGAUUGUAAACUCCUGUUGUUGAGGAAGAUAAUGACGGUACUCAACAAGGAAGUGACGGCUAACUACGUGCCAGCAGCCGCGGUAAAACGUAGGUCACAAGCGUUGUCCGGAAUUACUGGGUGUAAAGGGAGCGCAGGCGGGAGAACAAGUUGGAAGUGAAAUCCAUGGGCUCAACCCAUGAACUGCUUUCAAAACUGUUUUUCUUGAGUAGUGCAGAGGUAGGCGGAAUUCCCGGUGUAGCGGUGGAGUGCGUAGAUAUCGGGAGGAACACCAGUGGCGAAGGCGGCCUACUGGGCACCAACUGACGCUGAGGCUCGAAAGUGUGGGUAGCAAACAGGAUUAGAUACCCUGGUAGUCCACACCGUAAACGAUGAUUACUAGGUGUUGGAGGAUUGACCC